rnacentral:lncRNA from 1 species
GCAUGGACUAUAGAAAGACAUUCCAUAUUUAAUGCCUCGCAAAUUUUAAUGUUCCUAAGAAUCAUCUGGGGAUCUUAUUAAAAUGCAGAGACUGACUCAGUACAUCUGAGAUGGCCUCAGAGAUUCUGCAUUUCUAACAAGCACUCAGGUGAUGUUGGUGCAGCUAAUCCACAGACCACACUUUGAGCAGCAAAGAUUUAAGUAGUGAUUUAUCUAAUUGUUUGGUUAUGACUGUGACUGUAGAGUCUAUGAGGUCUUAGUCCUGACUGGUCAUGGUUGUCUUUUAAUGAUGAUCUAGAAGCCUAUGAGAGAGGAGUUACCCAAUAUUAUUUUAUAUGUGUUUCUUCCCACAAACUCUCUUGAAAUAUGAAGGAUUAUAUAAUGCAUCAUAGGAAGAACUGUAAUGUGUAAUCCAUAAUCUAAAGUCUAAUCCAUAAUCCCACCGACUCUCCAGGUGAUUCCCAUUUAUACUUUGGCAAUCUUUAAGACAUUUGGGAGAAAUGGGUGAUCUGGGGGAGCAAAAAUUUGUUUUGUAAAUUCAAAAAAUAUUUCUGGUUUAGACUAAAAAAAGUUUUCAUGAUGAAGCCCACCUUAUACAUCUCUGGGAAGUCUCUUAAAGGUUUCCCUUUAGGGAAGGUAUUUAGUGAGAUCCAGGUGCUCGCCAUGAUCAACAGGUUGCCGUGGGAGCAUUCGCUGCACCGUUACUCAUCCGGUUAUGAGGUUUAACCUACCGACCAAUGUUGCCCGUACUAUCAUUUCAGUCAAACUUUGUGUGGAAGAGUAAAACUUAUUCCUGUCCUGGGAAAUGAAGUAAAAUGGAAUCCAGGAGUAAUUCUGACUAAAAGUCUGAGUUUACGAACUUCCAGUGCUGCAAAACUGACAAUCUGUGAGUUAAUCUUUAUUCUGCACCUUCAUACUUUCAGCCUUUCAUGAACUAGAUCGCUAUGCACAAAAGGUGUAUCAGCUAGCUCUGUCCAUCUGGAGAAGAAAAAAUUCCCGCUGCACUUCCUUCGUAGCGUGAUCCUUAUGAAUCUUAAUGUGGCUGAAGUUCCCACUCAGAUUUUGCUCCUGGAGCGUUUAAAUUCAACACUACUAUUUGAAGAUUAAACCACAGUGGAAAUAUUAAUGAUGUCUCUGUACUGAAAACAGCUUGGCAAUCUCUUAAAUUGAUAGGUUUCUAAAGAAACUCUCCAUUUCAAGUAAGGAUCUGAUAUUUGGAUCUCCUAAGCAGUCUGAAAUGUAGUUUACCUCCAUAGAUUGGCUAUCUAGGAGCUUGUAAACAAAUUCAUAAAUUUGUCAUGCUGAUUAUAGUGUUGGCAAACACAAUGGCUGAUCAUGUUAUAAAUGUUUAUCAACACCCGCACUCACCCACCUGCUAAGAGGUGCUACGCUUUAAUGAAAUUGUUUGAAUAUCAAGGCUGGUUGCUAAGAUACAAUGUUCUUGUUACUAGGGAUGUGAUGCUUGCAGAUUUCUGUUAUCAAAUAAUGAUUAGAGAUGUGCUAACCUCAAGGUGCUCAGUGCGGUGAAAGGUUUACCGAGCUACAAAUUAGUAAACUGUCUGCUUGAGCAGGCACUGGCAGAAGAAACAUGAGCCUCAUCCAUACACGACUGGCAUUUUAAAAGAAGACAAGAGAGGACGGGAGCAGGGCCAUAAAUGAUGGCUCCUUGAAAGUUUGCCAUGGAAGGUUUACCUACUCUAUGGCUCAGCGUGAUAUAUCUCUAGCCAGCCAGGGAAUUUGUUGAAAUCCAUUGCCAAUAACUCCUUCCUUUCUUAUGAAAAGACCAUUUUUUACAUUUCCUUUUAACUGAUUGUUAGGCAAUUAUUAACAUUAAACACACCACAUCUUUUUGUGAGAAAUAAAAGCACAUGAAAAUGUAAUCCUACAGAACAGAGGUGUAUUUUUAACAUGAACACAUUUUUAAGAUAAUGCCAGAUUUAAGAGAAUUCUUGGUAUAAAUGCCGUAUUUAGUAUGAUAAAUUUUGAAAAUGGUGCAAAAUUUUUUCUGUUUUUAUUUUAUAUUUUUAUUCUUCCAUUUUCUAGGAGAAUUCAAUCCCCCAGAAUAUUUAAUAUAAUAUAAAACAUCAUCAUGUAAGUGUCAGAAUGUUUCUUUUUAUUUUCACAUUAUCUCAAAAAAUACCAUGGAGAUGACCAAAGCUCUGUCGUCCACAUUAGGCUAAUUGUUCGUCUUGUUAAAGCAGAACCUGAGUUGCAGUAUCACACUUACAUUGGGGAUACUCUGAGCACAACAUUUUUACAGUGAAAACAUUUCCAUGAUUUUAUGACAGUCCCUGGAAUUCCCAAGUGCUCUACUCAUCACUAGUAAUAAUUCAGAAACGUGUAGGCAACUGUACUUCUGGUGUCAUGUAUAAUUUUUACUCUUGUUGCUUUAUAAGAAAUUUCAAUUAUUAGGAUCACAGAUCUGAUGGGUAUUAAAUUGACUCUUGAAAUUUCCCUUAAUAAAAAUUGAAAUUGUAGAUAUAUUUUAAUAAUGAAAGUGUUAAAAUGAUAUUCAGAUAUAACAUCUGGCCUUCCAUUAGAUCAUGAAUACUAUGAGAGCAGAUUCUGAGUCUGUUUUUGCUCAUCAGCAGGUAACCAUCCUCCAGAAGAGUGCCUGCACAAAUGAGGCACCUUAUGAAUGAAGGAAUGACAGCUAAAUCCAGAAAAUUUUGCUAGUAUCCAUAGCAGAUUCUUAGGAGUUUAAGAUUAGGUCUGAGCUAACAUCUGCACCAGUCUUCCUCCAUUUUUAUGUGGGACACUACUACAGCAUGGCUGAUGAGUGAUGUAUGUCCUUGCCUGUGAUAUGAACCCAUGAACCCAGGCCAGCAAAGGGGAGUGCACCAAACUCAACGACUACACCAUGGGGCCAGCCCCUCAAAUAAAGUGUUUUUAUGAAAAAAUAUUUUACAUGGUCAAAUUUGUUUUUUACUUAAUAUUUCAAAUAAAGUGCUUUUAUCAAAUAUUAUUUAGCUUAAAUACUCAUAUUCUAUCAUCUCUGAGAUGAAAUAUAUGCAUUAAUUUUAAGCCUUUGGUUUGGUUUGGAUAUUUGGGUA